AUGGGCUGGCUUAUCGGCGUCUCAGGUGGACGCGGCUCCAGCCGGAACGCCGCCGGGACCGCCGUACGCAGACCCGAGGCCUGGGGCCCCCGCUCCUGGCUGCCGGCCCGCGCUCCGCGUUCUCCGCGCACUCGGGCCCGCCUCUCGGCCGUUUUCGCUUUCGCUUUCUUGCCGAGAGCGUUGAGGAAAAUGAAAGUGGCAGUGUCCAGAGCCUGCGCGGCAGCCGUCGGGGCGAGGGGCGCACCGUGCGGGGCGGCCAGCCUGGAGCGGGCGAGCCGGAGCCUCAGCCCGCACCCGGCGAGAUGGCGGUAGGCCCUGGACUUCCCUGCACUGCAGGCAGUGAUGAGGCUGGGCAGCAGAGAAACAAGAAAAUGGACUCCCUCCUCCUGAAGACAAGAAUGGCAGCUACCAGUCAUGGGUGAGCUUCCAGCUUGACCAGAAUUUUUCUCUUAUCUGUUCCACAUUAUUUGCUGUUGUUGUUAUACAGGAUUGGUGUAGACCAUACUUGUUUGAUUUUGGGGUAGUUUGUUGAUUUUCACAAUUUGUUUAUAAAAACAGAAAAGCAAUAGCAGUGAAACCAGAAAUAUUACUGGAACGUUACUGAGGGAAUCGAGGGCCAGGUGCUCAUGCUCUGCACUGGGAGUGUGGCAUCCCCUCACUUAUGCUCCUUGGGCCUGUCCCUUUUGUCGUCCUAGGGGAUGGUACCCACCCAGGCAGUCCCUUUAAUUCAACAAGUGUGUGGUAAGCUGGAAAUACGAGGUGUUCUUUGCAUGGACAUUGUGGUCCUUCUUGCAGUUGCUCACUGGGCAGACUGUUCCUGUGCUGCUGGAGAGACACCCCUGGCCAGCAAGGCCCAGGGCUUCUUUCUACUCACCCUGACCUUGUUGCCCCCAAGAGGGCUUCUUCCCCUGAUCUCCCCACUGAUCCCACAUUGGGUAAUUUCACAGCUCUAGUUUAUUUGUCCUAAAACCACCAUUAGUGUUGUAAUCUGAGCAGUUUGAGUAGAGAUUGUUUCUGUUCUAUUUU
rnacentral:lncRNA from 1 species